ensembl:lncRNA
GAUGAAGCGUCGACUACGCCGGUGCCAGAGAUGGUGAAGCCCACUCCUGUGUGCCCAGUCAUUCUUCAACGAGAGCUCGACUUAGAGCCAACCUUCCAUCAGCAGAUGGAACACUGUCCAGUACCACUGUAUCCCUGGGUGAACAAUAACCUCAUGUGCCUUCCACAGCACAAAUCAAUGAAGUGCUAUCCAUACCUGUAGCAUCCCAAGUCAACCAACUGACAACUGAACUUUCACCGGAACUGGACUGUGAAAUAGCGAAACUCAACGACCAACCCCAGGAGGAGCCCAAAGAUAGAAGUACCGCCACACCUCUGAGCUGGUCUCCAACAUCACUCCACAGCAGCAUGGCUGAAACCUUAGAGGCCGAGGAGAAGCAGGAGGGAGGAACCUCCACCCUGACUCAGAACCACACAUUGAACCUGACCCACCUCACACAGAGAUCCAAGCCAACAUGCCUUCACUGGAAGAUGUUUCAUAUCAGUGUGCAUCCCGCAACACCAGAAGUAGUGGCGGAGGAGGAAGAUGUAGAGGAGGUGCCUCAGCAGGGGUCGAAGGUGGAGGCGGAGGAUCCAAGGCAGGAAGCAGAGAACGAGACAGAGGACAACAAAGUCCUUCAGAAUUCAGGAGCCAAGCACCAACUUCCCAAGUCUCCUAGAACAUCCCUCAGAUCCCACCAAUUAUUGAGUUCAGUAGAACAGAAGGCUUCCAUGUCUCCUCCCUGGACCUCCUCAAUGUCCACCUCUUGAACAUCAGACUCUGGGGCCUCAUCUUCACUGUCACUUUCC